rnacentral:rRNA from 1 species
UAUUAUACUUAGUUUAAAUUAUAGUUGGAUCUUUGAGUAGUAAUCAGGUAUAGUCUCGAAACUCAAAGAAUUUGGCGGUAUCUAAGUCUAGUUAGAGGAAUUUGUGCAAUAAACGAUAGUCCGCGAGAAUCUUGCCUUGCUUUGUAGUCGUUCAGUUUGUAUACCGCCAUUAUUAGAUAAUCUUUUUAGAGAAUUAUUAUAAUUAAGAGUAGUUAAAUAUAUUAGGUCAAGGUGCAGCUUAUAGUAGGGGUGUCAUGAAUUACAAUGGUAUAAGUGAUAGACGGAUUGGUCGUGGGAGUUGCGAUCUUUAAGGUGGAUUUAAUUGUAAGGGAUGUGGAUUAUGCCUGGUCUGAUAGGAGCUCUUAGAUAUGUACAUAUCGCCCGUCGCUA